UUUUGUUCUUAUUAAAGGUUUGCUGAUGCCAGUCACUGGCUGGAGUAUUUCCCUCCUUUGGCUAAGGAAGACUUGGAGGCUCUUGGACUAAGAAUUGAUUGGCGGAGGUCAUUCAUCACUACUGAUGUCAAUCCUUAUUACGAUUCAUUCGUGAGGUGGCAGUUUCUGACACUGAAGGA